CGGGACGGGGUGGAGUAAUGUCUGGGAAACUGCCCGAUGGAGGGGGAUAACUACUGGAAACGGUAGCUAAUACCGCAUAACGUCGCAAGACCAAAGAGGGGGACCUUCGGGCCUCUUGCCAUCGGAUGUGCCCAGAUGGGAUUAGCUAGUAGGUGGGGUAACGGCUCACCUAGGCGACGAUCCCUAGCUGGUCUGAGAGGAUGACCAGCCACACUGGAACUGAGACACGGUCCAG
rnacentral:rRNA from 1 species